rnacentral:rRNA from 1 species
CGUAGGGUGCAAGCGUUAAUCGGAAUUACUGGGCGUAAAGCGUGCGCAGGCGGUUUUGUAAGUCUGUCGUGAAAUCCCCGGGCUCAACCUGGGAAUUGCGAUGGAGACUGCAAGGCUAGAAUCUGGCAGAGGGGGUAGAAUUCCACGUGUAGCAGUGAAAUGCGUAGAGAUGUGGAGGAACACCGAUGGCGAAGGCAGCCCCCUGGGUCAAGAUUGACGCUCAUGCACGAAAGCGUGGGGAGCAAACAGGAUUAGAUACCCUGUAGUCCACGCCCUAAACGAUGUCUACUAGUUGUCGGGUUUUAAUUAACUUGGUAACGCAGCUAACGCGUGAAGUAGACCGCCUGGGGAGUACGGUCGCAAGAUUA